ACAAGCAGCGGAGCGUGUGGUUUAAUUCGUUGCUACACGAAGAACCUUACCUGGGUUUGACAUUAUAGGUUGUAGGGAACUGAAAAGGGACCGACCUUCGGGAGCCUAUACAGGUGUUGCAUGGCUGUCGUCAGCUCGUGUCGUGAGAUGUUCGGUUAAGUCCGCUAACGAGCGCAACCCUCGUCGUAUGUUAUAUGUGUCAUACGAGACUGCCGGUAAAAGCCGGAGGAAGGUGAGGAUGAUGUCAAGUCAGCAUGACCUUUAUAUCCAGGGCUACACACACGCUACAAUGGUCUGUACAAUGGGUAGCCAAGCCGCGAGGCGGAGCCAAUCCUGAAAGCAGGCCUCAGUCCAGAUUGCAGUCUGCAACUCGACUGCAUGAAGCCGGAGUUGCUAGUAACCGCAGGUCAGCAAUACUGCGGUGAAUACGUUCCCGGGUCUU
rnacentral:rRNA from 1 species